rnacentral:lncRNA from 1 species
UUUUUUGUGAUAUCUAUUUGAUAAUAAACUGUAAGCAAAUGACAAACAAGUGUAUAUUUUUUUUUACACAUUAUGACUUGGAUGGAGCGUUGUCUCAUUGACUCUUGUACCACAUCUCAUUCUAUCUAUUCUAGAUGGACGCACAGCAAAAUGAUGAAACCAAACAUGUGUAAUAAAAUGUGAAAAACAAAUUUUGAUAAAAUUAACAAUUGAUCUGUUUUAUACGGAAAGUUAUAUUGCAAACAUUAUACUAUAAUAUAAAAACGCGAAAACUGUGGCAUCAUUGCAAACGAGACAACUAGCCACCAGAGUCAAAAUGAAAUAAAAGAAAUCAUAUGUCAUCGUAAGGCCUAAAACAUGUGAAAACCCUUUACCGUAUAUUAAUUUUGGCUAUAUGAAUAGAAUAGGCCAUGACAUGCAAAAUAAACACACUUCUACAAACCAUUCAGUGGGCGAUAAAACAAAAUGAAGAUGUAACCUAGAAAAGAAUGAACAUUCAAGACACUAGAAAUUGCAAAC